CCUGGCUCAGGACGAACGCUGGCGGCGCGCCUAACACAUGCAAGUCGAACGAGCGAGAGAGAGCUUGCUUUCUCGAGCGAGUGGCGAACGGGUGAGUAACGCGUGAGGAACCUGCCUCAAAGAGGGGGACAACAGUUGGAAACGACUGCUAAUACCGCAUAAGCCCACGGCUCGGCAUCGAGCAGAGGGAAAAGGAGCAAUCCGCUUUGAGAUGGCCUCGCGUCCGAUUAGCUAGUUGGUGAGGUAACGGCCCACCAAGGCGACGAUCGGUAGCCGGACUGAGAGGUUGAACGGCCACAUUGGGACUGAGACACGGCCCAGACUCCUACGGGAGGCAGCAGUGGGGAAUAUUGCACAAUGGGGGAAACCCUGAUGCAGCGACGCCGCGUGGAGGAAGAAGGUCUUCGGAUUGUAAACUCCUGUUGUUGAGGAAGAUAAUGACGGUACUCAACAAGGAAGUGACGGCUAACUACGUGCCAGCAGCCGCGGUAAAACGUAGGUCACAAGCGUUGUCCGGAAUUACUGGGUGUAAAGGGAGCGCAGGCGGGAAGACAAGUUGGAAGUGAAAUCCAUGGGCUCAACCCAUGAACUGCUUUCAAAACUGUUUUUCUUGAGUAGUGCAGAGGUAGGCGGAAUUCCCGGUGUAGCGGUGGAAUGCGUAGAUAUCGGGAGGAACACCAGUGGCGAAGGCGGCCUACUGGGCACCAACUGACGCUGAGGCUCGAAAGUGUGGGUAGCAAACAGGAUUAGAUACCCUGGUAGUCCACACUGUAAACGAUGAUUACUAGGUGUUGGAGGAUUGACCCCUUCAGUGCCGCAGUUAACACAAUAAGUAAUCCACCUGGGGAGUACGACCGCAAGGUUGAAACUCAAAGGAAUUGACGGGGGCCCGCACAAGCAGUGGAGUAUGUGGUUUAAUUCGACGCAACGCGAAGAACCUUACCAAGUCUUGACAUCCCUUGACGAUGCUGGAAACAGUAUUUCUCUUCGGAGCAAGGAGACAGGUGGUGCAUGGUUGUCGUCAGCUCGUGUCGUGAGAUGUUGGGUUAAGUCCCGCAACGAGCGCAACCCUUAUGGUCAGUUACUACGCAAGAGGACUCUGGCCAGACUGCCGUUGACAAAACGGAGGAAGGUGGGGAUGACGUCAAAUCAUCAUGCCCUUUAUGACUUGGGCUACACACGUACUACAAUGGCGUUAAACAAAGAGAAGCAAGACCGCGAGGUGGAGCAAAACUCAGAAACAACGUCCCAGUUCGGACUGCAGGCUGCAACUCGCCUGCACGAAGUCGGAAUUGCUAGUAAUCGCAGAUCAGCAUGCUGCGGUGAAUACGUUCCCGGGCCUUGUACACACCGCCC
rnacentral:rRNA from 1 species